rnacentral:rRNA from 1 species
GAUGAACGCUGGCGGCGUGCCUAAUACAUGCAAGUCGAACGAGUGGCGAACGUGUGAGUAACACGUGGGAAACUCCCCUUCAGCGGGGGAUAACUAUCGGAAACGAUGACUAAUACCGCAUCUCAUCAUGUGUGGUUCAGUGUAAUUAGCUAGUCGGUUGGGUAACGGCCUACCGGGGCUUUGAUGCAUAGCCGACCUGAGAGGAUGAUCGGCCACACUGGGACUGCGACACGGCCCAGACUCCUACGGGAGGCAGCAGUGGGGAAUAUUGCACAAUGGGCGCAAGCCUGAUGCAGCCAUGCCGCGUGUAUGAAGAAGGCCUUAGGGUUGUAAAGUACUUUCAGCGGGGAGGCGUUACCCGCAGAAGAAGCACCGGCUAACUCCGUGCCAGCAGCCGCGGUAAUAC